GAGGGUGUAGCUCAAGUGGUAGAGCGCAUGCUUGACAUGCACGAGGUCCCAGGUUCAAUCCCCAGUACCUCCU
rfam:Camelus ferus unplaced genomic scaffold scaffold951, whole genome shotgun sequence.